rnacentral:lncRNA from 1 species
UUCAAUUGUCAAACUAAACACAAACUCGCAAAGUGUGAAGAAGACAAGAUGGUGACAAGUUAAGUUUCCAAAUAUCUUAAAAGCAAAGGUCAUGCAUGAUGAGUUCAGGGGGGUAAGGAAGUAGAGGCUUAGUUAAUUAAUUAGCUAUUUUAUAUAUUUUUCAGUGGCUAUCAAUAUAAAGCAAACAUAGCAUUUAAAAAAAUUAAUGAUCAAAUCAGGGUUGUAGUUAGUAAGAUUUGGGAAGAUC